ensembl:lncRNA
GCUUUAGGCAGGCAGACUAUGUCAUUUUUCUCAGAUGGUUGUUGUGAAGACCCUCUCACUUGUAUUGUCUGAUGUGCAGUCAGUAUAACAUAGCUUGCAAGAAGCAGUUGAAAAGACCACUUGUAAUGUUGUGUCAUGGGCUUAAUUGUCAAGGAAACUCGUAGACAUGAGACCGACGAGAGUAAAGAAAAAAAACUGUGAAAUUCUAUCUAAUUCCCUGUGAUGUGUUCAAAUGUGUGAUGCUCAAGAUGGUGCUUAAGAUUUGGAGAAUUCAUUUGUUAGUGUGGAGCCUAAAUAGUCCUUUUUAAAAGGCUAGGCUCAGGCAUAGCCAGGCAGAGUCCAAACAGUUGUACUCCAGUACUGAAAGACAAAUCUACUAAAAGCCUUUGGCAUUCCCACAACCGUGUAAAGACAGAUGGUCCUACUGGAUGUCACAAAUGAUCCUUUUAUUGUAGGUAACUGUCAUCUUUUAGGGUUUUAUCCUCCUAAUCUGUCAUGUGUCCUUGCUGUCUCUAAGACUAUGUCAUGUUCUUUUUUUGAAGUACCAGCCUUCCCAUAAUCUGGUACAUUACAAAGUUUGGAAGAUGUUGCAAUGAGGGGUCGGCUGGCAUAUGCCCUAAGUAGAAGCUGAGUGAGUUGUGGGGAUUUCCUGAGUUCAAGGUACCUGAGCAGAGUGAGGCAGGACAGGUACCCACAGUCUGGAAUCACUGGUCAAGCUUUGUGUGUACACUGCUCUACUGUGGGUGGCAGUGCAGAACGAGAACUGGACGCUUAGCUGGCUUGCUCCUCACUACUCUCUCACAGAUUUUCAUCUUGGACCAAACUGCUUCUGAUCAAGGCACAGUCUCGUGUGUGAUAAGUUUCUCUUUAUGGGUUGGUUGAUGAGUUAGGAUUCUCAACGGAUACUGUUUUGUAGACCAUUGUGUGCCUCCAUUUUGAGCCCUGCUUUUGGUAUCACCAAGUCAUGUGAUCCCUCCAGACUUCUUCCCAACAUUUAUCAUCAUGUAUAAACCUUCCAUCCAGCUCUGAGAAUUCAUUUUCCAGAAAGUAGAUCAUCCUUGGAUGGCAAUGACAUCUUUGGGCCCUCAUAAGCCAAUCCUGGUGGAGAGUAGAGAUCUGUCAGUCAUUGGAGGAAAGAGUCUCUUCUGGUUCAUGAUGAGCAGAUUCCAGGCGACUUUUAUCAAGUGUAAUAAGGUGAUCUAGACCCUUUGUUUGUUAAGUAAGUGCCCAGAAAAUUUAUUUUACCCUCCUCCCCCACAUUUGCACAAAAGGCAUAAGAAGUCUACUGAAGUGUUUUGGGUCAUUAGAGCCCUGCUUGUGUCUUUAGCAAGGUACUGCUCUGCGAAGAAAACUCUGGACAGUGGCAUAUCUGCAAUGUGUCCCUAUAUCUUCACGAUGCUCCUAUGAGACCAGGAAAUAGAGAGCACACAGUAACAUUAAAAUAUAAACUCUGUUGUAUGACUGUUGGGCUGUGCACAGUAGAGUGGUCAUUCUUUAGAAGUACCAUUUGGACAUUUUUCAGCUAUGGAGAAAGAACCCUUUGUCCAUCAUCUUCACCGCUGGAUGUGUUUAUAUUUGUGUCGCAGACCUUGAGCUUUUGAGUCUCCAAGGGGAAUCUUGGUCAUGUUACUACAGGAUGUGCAGUGGGUCUCCUUGACUGUCUUCUGUACAUUGACAAAACAGGUUGUCUAGCAAGCCUCUGGACAGGCAGCAUGGCAGAAAUCAACUCUUUCCAAAAAAAAGGCUGCUGCUGACACAGUGGAUAGAGCACACACAAGCUCCCUGUCUGACUCCUUCAGCUCCUGCAUGUCUCCUUGGCUAACAUUUCAGAGCUUCUGAUUCUUCAGACAUCAGCUUCUUGAUACUGAAGAGAUUGUUCUACCUGAUGAGCCCAGGCCUAGAAGAUGGACUGCAUCCAAGAAGCCUGGUCCAUCUAAGGCCAAGUCACAUCUUUAAGAAAUAUUUGAAAGCAUUUGUGCACAGGAUAAAGGUGCAAGGACCAAAGUCUCCUUAGACUUUCCAGCAUACAGAGGGUCUGACAGACUCAGGUCAAAGGUUACGUCUGAAGCCUAGAUUAUGAAGAAGGCCCCACUCCACAGUAGAAGCCUGUGGCUGAUGCUGUUGCAACCAGGACUAUGAUUGUGAAACUUUUGUCUGUUCAGGAUAGCAGGUUCAGGAAUCUUGUGCCCAGGUAUCCACAGGCCUUUUUUCAUACAUUUCUUGGUAUAAUUUUGCAAGUCCUGACUUUGGACAUGUCGGGUGCUGAUGGUAUCUCACUUGAUAUAUAGUCCAAGAAAGAUUUUUACCCCUUUAAGGGGCUGGAAAUAGACUGGCCUCACAGUUACCAUUAAAACUGAAGUUCUGUCCUUUGUGGUUAUUGGCCCUUUUAAAACUUGUUUGACUGGAAACAAAGCUCAGAGCCUGAUAUUUCCAAGAUUCACCCCUACAAAAUUCAGAAACCCACAGCUCAAAGCAGUACAGAUACCACUCAGAAAUGAAUCCAAGGACAAGGUGUCUGACAUGAGAAUCUUACAGAUUUAUUUAAAGGUCCAGGACUCAGCAACACUACACCUACGUAGAAUCAUUCAGGGAUUCCCCCGUUAGAAUUUGGGAGCUGCCAUUCACAGAAAUGACCCAUGGGAGACUCUUAUUUCCAUAUCAUAGCCUCCAUGACCCAUAGUGCUGUGACUGCCAUGCUCUCUGUCAAACUCCACAGGAGGUCACCAUUAGUAGAAUAACAGUGCAGGGCAGCAGAGCAGUACAGUGGCCCUAGGGUGGUGUCGUGGGUGGUUCCAGAAGAUACUGACAUCACACCACCCUCUACAUCUAGAAUGAAAGGAAGAGGAACACGGGAGGGAGUGUGUGAUUGAAUUCAUGGCCCAAAGCAGCCUAGGUGUCAGCUAUCAGUCUGGAAGAGCACGUCUGCCUCUGUAUGGAGGAUUCAGGUCAGGAAUGUGACCGGAACCAGAUGAAUCAAUUCUCGCAAGAGGAAAGUCCUUUACGUGACAUCUUGCACCACAACAGAAUAGCCACAAGAUAGCUUGUCCUUAUAGGAACUGGCACACCAAGGGCAUAGGGGAAGUCUCUGGAAUAUACAGGAUUGGUUGAGUACCACACAGGAUGGCUGACAAGCUAGCAGAAGAGUAGGACACACACUGAGGUCAAGUGCCAGGUAUCAUGACCUAUGUAGCCACACAGCUGGACUGAAGGGCUUUCUUGCUCUGACUGAAGCAGAACCAAAGCAGGGCCUGCCUCAGCCUCCAUCUGUACCUUGGCUCUAGCUGCUUCUUUCUCUUGCAAGUCACAAGCAUCAUGAAGCAACUGUCUUGGUUCCCGAAACCACAUGGUCUUUGUUCACGUUAAAGACAGGGCAUGCAAGAAUGUAUUCUCCUCCUACCUAUGUGCUGGACUAGGGACAGGAGACCAGAUUCCUAGGCCUGAACUUCUGACCAUUCCCAUAGUGUAUCAGGGAAAUAUUUAACCUUGGAUUUCCUGCUCUUAGAGGCCAAAAUAAACCUGUCAGUCCGGGAGUCUUAUCAAGAAUGAUACUCUGGGAUUCAUCUAAGCCAGGCCUCUUACUCAACCCUUCUGCUGCCUAUUUCCUGGUGCUAAGCAUGGACCUCAAAGUCACCCUAAGCCUGCAUCCUGAGUUCACACCCUGAGAUGCACUUAAGACUGACCUGAGAGCUGCUCAAGAGGACACACACGGGUUACACCACAAAGAAAAGUCUAUCAAAGCUGACAUAGGCCAGGAGUUUGGCCCCUGACUCGACAGUGCUUGUCCAGUGAGUGUUUUACACAUUAUAUGGAACCCCAGGACCAGAGCCAGAGUCACAAAGUCAGGGGCAGUAUAUAGUGUGCAAUUAAUAGCCAAUGGAAUCUUCGGUAGCAAGCUAAGAACCUGCAGAGAAACCUCAAACCCAGCCUGCUGGAUGGUGCCAAGAUCCAGUAAGUAACACUUCCUAAGAGAAAACUCUUCCUGGGAGAAUUGCAGCCCAGUAAAUGGAUGCUCUCACGAUUCUCGGUGAAAUAACUCAUGGACCUUUUUCCUUGUGAACAGGGAACUUCAAAACAUCAUGGGGUGAGGUGAGGUGAGAUCCAGGGAAGAAGGCUGCCCUUUGGCUCAAUCUGAGAAGUUAGGAUGCUUCAUUUGCAGGGGGGAGGAUCUCAGGUGUUGUCCCUAAGUGACAUCAUCAUCCUGGUGAAAUGUCAUGUCACUUGUACUGAGACCAGUAGGCCUGAGUUGUAACUAAUGCCUACACUUUUCAAUUAGGA